rnacentral:rRNA from 1 species
AAGUGGUGCGACGAACCAGAGCUUGCUCUGGGGCAAAGCCGCGAACGGGUGAGUAACACGUGGGUAAUCUACCCCGAUGACCGGGACAACCCGAGGAAACUCGGGCUAAUACCGGAUGUGGUACGGAGACAUAAGUCUCUUUACUAAAGGUAGCUUCGGCUUCCGCAUUGGGAGGGGCCCGCGGCCCAUUAGCUAGUUGGUGGGGUCAAGGCCUACCAAGGCAACGAUGGGUAGCUGGUCUGAGAGGACGAUCAGCCACACUGGGACUGAGACACGGCCCAGACUCCUACGGGAGGCAGCAGUGGGGAAUCUUGCGCAAUGCGCGAAAGCGUGACGCAGCAACACCGCGUGAGGGAAGACGGCCUUAGGGUUGUAAACCUCUUUCAGAUGGGACGAAGGUGAUGCGGUGAAUAGCCGAUGUCAUUGACGGUACCGUCAGAAGAAGCUCCGGCUAACUACGUG